ACUGCCAUUCCACCCUAAAUGUGCUGAAUUUCAUUUGGUCUCAGAAGCUAAGCAGGAUCGGGCCUGGUUAGUACCUGGAUGGGAUACAAAUCUUCAAAAGAGACUGCUCAAAGAU
rnacentral:rRNA from 1 species